AGAGAUUGAUGCUGUAUCCCUUGUAUAUGAGGCCGAUAACCAUAGAUGUAGAUUUGGUUGUCCUGAAAGUCCCUGUGGUGCAACCCUGUUGAUAAGUAUGAGAUGCAUUAGAUUUGGUAAUGAUUGGUGAUGUAAAUCAACGGUGAUUCAAUUGUAAAACAGCGUCACAACAAUAGUAACAGAUAAUCCUGUCAUAAGUGGUUAAUAACCAUGUACAUAGAUAGUCACUCGUGAAGCAGCGCUUGCCAGGAUUUUUUUUUUUGCUUUAUGAAAGAGAGAUUGAUGGAGUAGUUUCCCCUUUAAUCAACAUCACUUUCAAGAUUGUUUUUACAGAAGGCGAGAAGAUGCAGCUAACGAGAUAUAGGAAUGGAAUAACAGAAUAUGCAAGAAGCAAAGAACUAAAGCUGCAGAAAGUAUUAGAAAGCCAUUGAUUGGAAGAUUGACAUGGAGUUAUAGGAGUGAUGUAUUGACUUUGUCAUGAGAAAGGGAAUUACAGAGUCUACAAUCAAUCCGUAGACUAAUAACAUCUGAAACAAAAGACUUCUGAAGACAUGACGAGCCAUUCAUUACUAUUGAUGUAAUGUUUUCAGACAGAUUUUACAGAGGAUACAGUCCUGUUAAUACUGUCUAGGCCCAAUAACAUUUCAUGAAGUAAAGUGUCACCCAAUGAAAUAUGAUUGUUUGCAGCUGACCAAUUAAAUUUCCUGAUAGAGGAAGCCUUCAAAGUUUGGUUUAUAUUAAAGAUGGCAGAUUAAGUAUAAAGAUUAGAUGCUGGGACUCACGGUGAAGUUUGACCAACAUGAAGGCACCUGAUGAGCACAGAGAUAAAAUUGUAGACAUUUCAAACAUAAAAAGUUUUAGAACUGAGUCAGUAUGAUGUAAGUUUCCAUACAAACACUUUGUCAAUUAAAAGCCAAGUAGAAUAAUAAGCAGCUGCAGUGUCCACGU